CAACUCCGCAAAUACUUCCCUGUACUCAGCUAUCGUCUUAGUAUCAACAUCACUUAGAGAUAUUUUGGUAAAGUCAUUCACAGAGGUGCACAACAAAUUCAGCUUCAUUGUACCAAAUUUCUUGUUUUUAGUGGUAAAGUGCUCAAAGGUUUCUGGGUACUUAUCCAUAAUGCGAUCAAGCAGACAUACAAACUCACAGUAAACCUCAUGGCCCCGCCAUAACCUAAAAUCACUAUUAGUCCCAGAAGAACUUACCCGAUCACUGCCUGUCCUUUCAACUGUUGCACCAAUUUGUCGAACCCUCUCACUCUCACCAUCUAAUAAAGAGUUCUGCCCCACAAGCUCUUCCUGCACUCCCAUGUGUGCAGUGUCAACAAACACACUUUUAUGUAUGUAUUGAGAUCUUAUCAACACUUUAGUUGGAGAUCCUGGCUCUUGUGGCACCACAUUUUGAGCUUUCACAGUAGAUGCCUCUUUACAAGAAAUUAUAUUCUGGAAAACAAAUCAGAAAGUUUAGUGAAGCAUUCUGACUGAGACUUAAACAUAUGUACCUGUUUAUCAACAAAAGAAAUGUAACUUUCACAUAAAAUACUAUGCAGAAGAUGAGUAGACCACCUCAACAAAUAACAUGAGUUAUUAUCUUAGUCAACUUCUUCCACAAAGUGAAGCAAGAAUAUUUAGCUAAACAAUUGAGUUACCACCGUGCCAUUACUUUUAUAACAGCAAGACCACCUAGCAAGCUGGCAUCAGUGCAUCGCUUCAAUAGUUGAUGUGCAAAAACAUAAUUAUAACAUACGUAGGUAUAUUAGCCUCUGAACUCAAAGAUUGUUUUACUGGCUCUAACGUAGCCCAAAUGAUUUUUUGUUCCCACCCUCAGUCCCUCACUGUUCAAAACUCCUUUUAUUAAGAUUCCACUGGUUCCAUCUUCUUCUUGACUCUUUUCAAAUCAAUUUAAAUCUCAAGUUGAUUCACAUGUCUGUAUGUACAUGUGCAUUUGUGGGUGUAACUUUGACACAUAUACCCACACAGGUGAAUCCCCAAAGCUCUAAUUUAAUAAUGUAUAGAAAGAAAUUACUAAAGGCUUUCACUCAUCCUAAGAUCUACAGGUUUAUCGGGUAAGUACUUUAUUCAGUUCAGCUAUGAGAAGACCUAUUCAAGAAGUUUGGAAAUUUAUGAAUUUUAGACCUUCAAGAUAUUUCAACAAAUGAAAACUUAAACAGCAAUGUUUUAAAAAAACACAUGGAAGUUGGAACCUUUACAUUUCAUAUAUUAUCUUUAAACCUCAAUUACUCAAACAUUCCAGACUAAAACAUUGCUAAAUACUAGGCAAAAAGAUAUUCAACAGCCACAAUAGUGCCCAAACAAUCAUAGUUCAAAAUUUUUAAGUAUAACAAACAACUCCUACAACGUAAGUCCAAAUUUGAAGUAUACUGCUUCAAAAAAUUAAGGUCUUAUGUAAGCACAUGUUUAAACAUUAAGGUCAACCAUCAUAUUCAAGCUCUUUUCUUUUUGUACGUGCUCGUACAAAAACAAAAGAAAACAAAAUUCAGGAUAACGAACUAGCAGGAAACAAUGGUUAACUCAUACGUUAAUACAUUUUAAAGUGUUUUGCUUACCUGCUUUCAUAGUAUAAACUGUUUAUGCCUAUAAGAAACAAGACAAUGAGUGCAUCAAGUUACCAAGAAGGAUAAUCAAUAAGUUGAAUACCUGGGGCAAUGCUGUGACAAUGGUGGCUGCUGGGGAGCCACCAAGUAAGUAGCUUCUCAGAAUACUGGAUAUACUUGCCUCAUUACAUCCAAGUGGCAGCUUUACAUACUCCAAGUCAUAGAAUGGAGAAGGGAAACUUACAAGAAAGUCAGAAAUCGAGAGAAGUGCCUAAGAUGUGAUAAAAAAAAAAAAAGAGAGUAAUAUAUAAAACAUCAGGUGAAGGAAUUGUAAUCAAAAUCAACUAAAAUAGAAGCAAUAAUAUAGUAGCCUUUGUGUUUCCUUCCCAGAUUAUCAUAUUUUGCACAAAGAAAGAUCACAUAAAAGCUAAUGAGAAGGGGUAAUAAUCACUCUCUGUAAGGACAAGUCUAAAAAUGGUAACAACUGUCUACAAAAUAUAUUAGAAAAGGACAAUAAGUACACUUGUUUUCUUCAACAAACCAUGUAUGCGAGUUCCUAAGAAAGGAAUUUGUCCAUUUUUCGGGGUCAAGUUUUACUUGUGUACUUGGGAUGGAAUAAUGAAGCUCAUCGGUACAACCCGCAGGAGAUAAGAGAUGCUUGGUACAUAAAAUAUUAAUAGAAAUGACUAAUUCAUCACUAAACUGAGAGUGAUCCGUCUGACAAAAAAAAUAAAAUACCGAGAGUGUUACAAGUGUAAUCAAACAUGUUCAAAUAUGAAUCUCUCAUUAUUUUAAGAUAAAAACAGACUUUCUUAGUAACGAAGUACAUAGAUAUAUGUGUCAUCUUUAACAAUACUCCAUAUACUCGGUCCUUGUAACACUUGUAAAGGCGUGAAGGCAAAACAAGGUGCUAGUGCCUGCCUAGGCCAUAAGUCAAACAGAUUGUGCUCAAAUACAAACGGGCAUAUAUGAUGUAGACCUAUUUUGUUUAGUUUCAAUAUGAUUAUUUUAAUUUAAGAUCAUAUCAUUUGACAUAUUCUAUUAACUUUUAUUUUAUAUUUUAAUUGCUGUUAUCAAUAUAAUGAUUUAAUUGUAAUAAUUUAUAUUUAUAGAUUUAACCCACAAAAGACAAACUGCAAUGAGAUAAAGCAAAACAAUAUUAUGUAUUAGGAAAAUAGUUGAUAAGUGUUAGGAAUAUAGUUAAUACAUGUAGUUCAACACUUAAUUCACCAAGUGACUAGUGUACAUCUAGGCGAUGCCAAAUUCACAUAAUUUAGGCCUAGGCAACGACUAUUUCACCUACCCCAUUCAAACCAAUGCAAGUGUCUACCCGUGUUUGAUCACCUUUCUGUCCAGGGGUCACCUUGAUAUUAACUAUGCUCCUUAUGUAAUAUAUUUUUGAAGUACUUUAUCUCCCCAAAAUGCAAAAGACCAAGCCACAAAAAUUCCAAAAAAUAUUUGAUCCUAUUGUGUUCCUUAUAUAAAUUAUUAAUAAUAAAACUUCGAGUAAAUGAAAAUAUUGUUCUGUGUAUUAAGUAUUAACUCCAACAACCGUCUUUAUACUUGUUCCUUUACAAUAACAAUAACAAUAACAAUAACAAUAGUAAUAAUAAUAAUAAUAAUAAUAAUAAUAAUAAUAAUAAUAACAACAACAACAACAACAACAACAACAACAACAACAACAAUAACAAUAAUAAUUAUAAUAGUUAAUUUGACGAGAGAGAGGAAUGAAGACACAAAAGGAGGAAAAUGAAUAUUAUAUUGAUAAAAGUGAAUAAGGACCGACUCUAGCUUCCUUAGAAAUAAGGAAUGAGAUGGGUGUCUUAACUUUUGAAUAAACCACUACCACACCAUCAGAGCACAAUUUUCAACCAAAUUCCUUAAAUUUAAUGUUAGAAGCUCACAGACCUUAUAUAUUGGAGUUUCUUUUCGGAGCUAUUUUUUAAUGAUACCUCCUAACUUCUAACUUAGAAGUUUAGAUAGAAAGAGCCUAGAAGACGCUCUAUGGUGAUAACAAUAUUGGACCGAUCACAUUAUAUAAGAACCGGAGGAUGGGAUAUAUUACCAACGAAUUAAACAUCUGCUAAAGAUGUCAGAAAUUUUAUUUGCCAAAUUCACAAGUUAUAAUAUCAAUACUUUCAUAUCUUUGCUGAUAGAAGGAAGCAAAGGAAGACUAAUGUCGAUAAUUGCCAAAUUGCUAAGUAACUUACCUCAAUGAUCUCCAAGUCAAGACUAAGAAUCUUAGCACUACCAAGUCUUGGCAACAUACUUGUAAGCUGUUGAUAACAUUCUUUCAUCUUCUCCUGCGAGAAGCUUUUUGCAUCUAUCCAACCCUUUAGUCUUACAUUUACAUAGUCCAACUUCGAAUCCUCAAAAGUUACUGAGAAGAUACCAACAGAAGUAAAUUUUUUUAGCUUUGGAGCAAAAACCACAAUUGUACUACUAGGAAUCCCCUUGUAAUGGUUGUAGCGGGUCUCGAUCUCCAGGUUCACCAAUUCAGGACAAUGUACAAAACAACUACAUAUGGAAACGUUUUUGUAAUAUAAUUUAAGAUUUUGUAAACUGACAAGUGCAGCAAAUAGGUCCAUAUUCUCAGGAUAUUGUACAUCAUCAAGAGUUAGACUAGUCAAAGCUGGCAAAUCCCAAUCUUUAGUGGGCAAUUUACACAUACGCACAACGAGAGAUGUUAAUUCAGGUAAACGAAAAGCAAAGGACCGCAAAUCCCAACUUUCAAGCAACAGAUUUCUCAAGGCAGGCAAGCAGGUCACAUAUAUUUCCGCUAACUUCUCAAUGACAGACCGACUAAACUUACAACGUACUUUGCGUAUCAAACAAAGAGUCGAUAAAGCAGGUAAAUCCCAACAAUCUGAUUUUGAAAUACAUUCUUUAAGUUUAAUUAUUACUUCCAGUUUCUCAAUAGAUACAGAGUUAAAAUUGGAUAACUUAAAAGGCCUAUGUUCCGGAAGGAAAUGAACAUUUAAGUAUCGAACACGACGAGCAGUAGCAUAUCUAAUAAACUCAGCCAUUAAACCUUGAGGCAGCAUUUCCAUCUUCAGACAUGAAAUCUGGGAUUGAUAGUUUCGAUGAAUCAUUACCUGACGAGCUAAAUUACUUACUUUUGUAGAUGAAUAGCGUUUAUCCCAUUUAAAGUUAAGAAAGGGGAGAGUAGUCCAUACAAGCUUCCAUCGUUUGGAGAGAGCGCUGGUUUGGACACUUAUUUUGGUAUCUACAAACUUGAGAAUUUGAUGAAGCAAUUCAUCAGGCAAUUCGCUGAUUCUGUCUUCUCCAUCUUCACUUGUGAUUCUUGCUUUCUUCCUCUUCUCCAACCGACGGUUCAUUUUACUUCUUUUCUCAAACCCUAGCCCCUAAUUCAAUUUCCCCACCAAUAUGAUACUCUUCACAAAAGUUGCGUUUCUCCCAUGUUUAGAUUUGUUCUUUCUAUUUGUGGAGUUAUUCGGCAUAAAAUCAAAUAUUUAAAACUCUUUUCCUCCUUAAUACCACAAUUUUUUUAACUACUUCAAACGUAUAUUAAAAAUGGACAACUAAACAUAGAUUGGAUAAAAAACUAGGGUUUUCUCUCUGCCUCUCAAAAGUUUUGAGAGUCGACUCCCGUUUUUAGGGUUCUAGCUACCAUUUCUCCAUCUUCUAAAUCUUCAUCCCUUCAUCGAUUAAGCCAUUUUCGCUCUCCCAUCCUCUAUUUUGUAUUUCAGUUUUUCAAUAAACCAAGAUCCGUGAGAUCUUGUUGAGUACCUUGUUAUCAAGGCAGUGCCUAUGUUUUGGGAUGUUAGUAUGUCAUAUUUUGUGUUUUGUGUGUGUUUUUGUAUCGUUGUCGGAGGGUUUUCUAAAAAGGAUUCAUACGAUAUUGUGGGCGAUCUGUAAGACUCGCAUCGAUUCUGGGAUGACGGUGGAUAUCGCAAAAGCUCACCUUUCACAACAAAAAUUUGUUCAUAUUUUGGGAGUCUUUGUUGCUCCAAUAUCAGUCAAUAUAACUGAUAGUUCUGAACGUUGGGCUACAGAUGAUGCUUAUGUGAAGGUCAAUUGUGAUGCUACCAGUUUCAUAGGUGAUGUAGGUUGGAUUGCUCUAUAUGUCAUUGUAUUACUUUUUAGAUCAAAGAAUUUAAAUAUUCUAUGUGUUAAGCGAUCUGAAAACAAAACGGCUAUUUGGUUAGCUCGUUUUUUGUUUCACGAUCAGAUUGUAGUUGAUAGUUCGGGGGUUUGUACCGGCUGGAUUCCGAUGAGUGAUAUCCGUUAAUAAAAUCAUUUGUUUGUCAAAAAAAAACAUAGAUUGGAUUAUUAUUUUUUUGCAACAUAAUUUGAAUAAUAAAAAAAUAUUGUUAAAUUUCAUCAAAAAAUGCUCAAGAAUGAUAUGAAAAUAUGAAAUGGACAACUAUAAAAAGAUUGGAUAUGUUUUUCAAUUUUUCAAAAAAAAUGAAAAUUAUCACUUAAAAUUAUAUUUACGAAUUCAAUUUCAUAUUUUAGAAUUAAAACUUGUUAUUCUAUUUCAAAAAAAAAAACACACUUGUUAUUCUUAUAUCUAGUACUUAUUCAAUAUAAACUUUAGCGUAAAUAUCAAUUUUAUAAGUGAGGUUAACUCCUGAUAAUUACCAGAAACUUAAAACUUCAAACACAAGGACAUUUUAACAUAAAGUCUACAUGCAGGAUGACAAUAGAUACCAGAGACUUGAAUACCUGAGUAGAAUACACAUAAAAGGCAUACAAACAAAUCUUAAACAUGCGACUCAUCAUGAGAAAACUAAGGGUUUGUGAUCGUAAGUCCAAAAGCUUUCUGAAUCUCUUCCAUCUUUUCAGUACGGAGAGUCUCCAGAGCCUUCAAUUUAAUUUUACUAUCAUCAAAAAGUUCAAAGGUACCAAAGACUUGAGCACCUGAAACUAUAAAAAGUUAAAAGGCCUACAAAAAAAACUCUCAAGCAUGUGACUGAUCAGGGGGAAACUCUGGACUUGACAAGAGAUCAUCUCCUACGUAGCCAACAACAAGGUUUGUAGCCAUAGGUCCAAAAGCUUUCUGAAUCGCAUGCAUCUUUUCAGCACGAAGAGUCUCUAGAUCCUUUAAUUUAGAUUUAGUAUCAUCAAUACAAACCUGAAACUCUUGUAACUUACUUUUGGCAUCAACAAUAUGACAGUCGAUCGCAUGAAUCUCCGAAAGUAGGGGCUGUGAAAACCGGACCUGUUCUAUAUAGUUCAGACGACCCAAAAGCCAACUCACAUUGAAUCCGAAUUCCUGCAACUCCGCAAAUACUUCCCUGUACUCAGCUAUCGUCUUAGCAUCAACAUCACUCAGAGAAAUUUUGGUAAAGUCAUUCACAGAGGUGCACAACAUAUUCAGCUUAAUUGUACAAAAUUUCUUGUUUUUAGUGGUGAAGUGCUCAAAGGUUUCUGGGUACUUAUCCAUAAUGCGAUCAAGCAGACAUACAAACUCACAGUAAACCUCAUGGCCCUGCCAUAACCUAAAAUCACUAUUACCCCCAGAAGAACUUACCCGACCACUGCCUGUCCUUUUAACUGGUGCACCUAUUUGUCUAACCCUGUCACCAUCUAAUAAAGAGUUCUGCCCCACAAGCUCUUCCUGCACUCCCAUGUGUGCAGUGUCGACAAACACACUUUUAUGUACAUAUUGAGAAUUAAUCAACACUUUGGUUGGAGAUCCCGGCUCUUGUCGCACCACAUUUUGGGCUUUCACAGUAGAUGCCUCUUUACGAGAAAUUAUAUUCUG
rnacentral:lncRNA from 1 species